rnacentral:rRNA from 1 species
UACGGAGGGUGCAAGCGUUAUCCGGAUUCACUGGGUUUAAAGGGUGCGUAGGCGGCAAUUCAAGUCAGCUGUGAAAUCUCCGGGCUUAACUCGGAACGGUCAGCUGAUACUGCUUUGCUAGAGUGCAGAAGGGGCAAUCGGAAUUCUUGGUGUAGCGGUGAAAUGCGUAGAUAUCAAGAGGAACACCUGAGGUGAAGACGGGUUGCUGGGCUGACACUGACGCUGAGGCGCGAAAGCUAGGGUAGCAAACGGG